GAUGAACGCUAGCGGCAGGCCUAACACAUGCAAGUCGAGGGAGAGGUUACCUUCGGGUAACCAAAACCGGCGCACGGGUGCGUAACGCGUAUACAAUCUGCCUUUCACAUAGGGAUAGCCCGAAGAAAUUUGGAUUAAUACCUAAUGGUAUAUAAGAGCGGCAUCGUUUUUAUAUUAAAGCUACGGUGGUGAAAGAUGAGUAUGCGUUCUAUUAGCUAGUUGGAGAGGUAACGGCUCCCCAAGGCGACGAUAGAUAGGGGUUCUGAGAGGGAUGUCCCCCACACUGGUACUGAGAUACGGACCAGACUCCUACGGGAGGCAGCAGUGAGGAAUAUUGGACAAUGGUCGGAAGACUGAUCCAGCCAUGCCGCGUGCAGGAUGAAGGUCCUAUGGAUUGUAAACUGCUUUUGGAAGGGAAGAAUAAGGAGUACGUGUACUUUGAUGACGGUACCUUACGAAUAAGCAUCGGCUAACUCCGUG
rnacentral:rRNA from 1 species